rnacentral:rRNA from 1 species
UGGGGAAUAUUGCACAAUGGGCGGAAGCCUGAUGCAGCGACGCCGCGUGGGGGAUGAAGGCCUUCGGGUUGUAAACUCCUUUCGACAGGGACGAAGCUUUUGUGACGGUACCUGUAUAAGAAGCACCGGCUAACUACGUUCCAGCAGCCGCGGUAAUACGUAGGGUGCGAGCGUUGUCCGGAAUUACUGGGCGUAAAGAGCUCGUAGGUGGUUUGUCGCGUCGUCUGUGAAAUUCCGGGGCUUAACUCCGGGCGUGCAGGCGAUACGGGCUGACUUGAGUGCUGUAGGGGAGACUGGAAUUCCUGGUGUAGCGGUGAAAUGCGCAGAUAUCAGGAGGAACACCGAUGGCGAAGGCAGGUCUCUGGGCAGUAACUGUCGCUGAGGAGCGAAAGCAUGGGUAGCGAACAGG